UCCAUUCUUUUUAUUUAGAGAGUUACACCACUGUCCAAAAAAACAUAUAAUGACAUUUCCUAGUUCUGGUAGUUCUUUCUCCUUAAAUUUUAUUUGCCUGGUUUAAAUGAAGUAAACAUGUCAUCACAAAUAUGAGCACAUGCAUUGGAAUUUAACAUUUAAAUCAUUUUGUCAAUCUUUCGAAACUAUGAUGCCAGUGUUUAGGUGACUCACCACAAAUGACUUUAAGUGUUGGUUCUGUGAUUAGUAUUGUAGAUUAACAUAUUUACUGUCCUAUGUAAUUC
rnacentral:lncRNA from 1 species